rnacentral:rRNA from 1 species
UCGGCUCAACCGGAGAUCCAGCAAAGGAAACUUCUAUACUUGAGGGAAGUAGAGGUACAGGGAAUCCCGAUGGAGCGGUGAAAUGCGUAGAUAUCGGGAGGAACACCAAUAUGGCGAAGGGCACUGUACUGGGCUUUUCCUGACGCUGAGAGACGAAAGCCUAAAGGAGUGAUUAGGAUUUAGAUACCCUAGUAAUUUUAGCCGUAAACGAUGGAAACUCACUGCCGAGCGAAAUACAACGAGCGGUGGUCAAGCUAACGCGUGAAGUUUCCCGCCUGGGGAUUACGCUUGCAAAAGUGAAACUCAAAGGAAUUGACGGGGACCCGCACAAGCGGUGGAGUAUGUGGUUUAAUUCGAUGCAGCACGAAGAACCUUACCAGGGUUUGAAAUCAUUUCAAAACUCCUUGAAAGAGGAGCCUCCUUCGGGAUGAAAUGACAGGUGGUGCAUGGCUGUCGUCAGCUCGUGUUGUGAAAUGUCGAGUUAAGUCUCGUAACGAGCGCAACCCAUGUCUCUUGUUGCUCACUGAGCGCUUAAGAGAGACUGCCGACCAACAUCGGAGGAAGGUGUGGAUGAUGUCAAGUCAGCAUGCCCCUUACAUCCUGGGCUACACACGUACUACAAUGGUAAGGACAAUGAGCUGCGAUCCUGCGAAGGCUAGCCAAUCUCAAAAACCUUAUCUCAGUUCGGAUUGCACUCUGCAACUCGAGUGCAUGAAGGUGGAAUCGCUAGUAAUCGCUGGUCAGCUAUACAGCGGUGAAUACGUUCCCGGGUCUUGUACACACUGCCCGUCACACCAUGGAAGUCGACUCUUCCCUAAGUCGUUACUCGAACCCAUUGGGACGAGGAUGCCGAAGGCAGGGUUGGUGACUGGGGUGAAGUCGUAACAAGGUAACCGUA